rnacentral:sRNA from 1 species
CUGUCUCUGGGAUGUUCGCCAGCCGGUCUGAUUCCCCUGAGCCGAUAUCAUCUCUUCAGGAUGGUGUUCUGCAUAUUUAGAGCGUAUGCCUACCCCGAGUAGGAAACCCAGCAAGUAUGCGUCACCUCCACC